CUGCCAGGACUCAGCUUAACUGUCAUCUUGUUAGAAUGUCUUCCCAGAUGAACACAAUCUAAAUCUGCUGAAAUAGGUUGUGAGCUCUACAAGAGUAGAGAUUGCUUCUGUCUUUACCCUGGAAUUGUUGCACCUGGAACAGUGCUUGGAACAUAUGCCCAUACGUGCUAUCACCAGCAAAGACAAUUCAACAACUUAACACAUUUAUA